rnacentral:rRNA from 1 species
CGGCGAUGAAGCGGCAAAAGCUCAAAUUUGAAAUCUGGCGUCUUUGGCGUCCGAGUUGUAAUUUGAAGAAGGUAUCUUUGGGCCCGGCUCUUGUCUAUGUUCCUUGGAACAGGACGUCACAGAGGGUGAGAAUCCCGUGCGAUGAGAUGACCCGGGUCUGUGUAAAGUUCCUUCGACGAGUCGAGUUGUUUGGGAAUGCAGCUCUAAGUGGGUGGUAAAUUCCAUCUAAAGCUAAAUAUUGGCGAGAGACCGAUAGCGAACAAGUACAGUGAUGGAAAGAUGAAAAGAACUUUGAAAAGAGAGUGAAAAAGUACGUGAAAUUGUUGAAAGGGAAGGGCUUGAGAUCAGACUUGGUAUUUUGCAUGCUGCUCUCUCGGGGGCGGCCGCUGCGGUUUACCGGGCCAGCAUCGGUUUGGAGCGGCAGGAUAAUGGCGGAGGAAUGUGGCACGGCUUCUGCUGUGUGUUAUAGCCUCUGACGAUACUGCCAGCCUAGACCGAGGACUGCGGUUUUUACCUAGGAUGUUGGCAUAAUGAUCUUAAGUCGCCCGUCUUAACCACGGACC